rnacentral:lncRNA from 1 species
CACCUACAAACAUUCCACACACAAAACAUAAUCAUGGAAUCCUUAAAGAAUAUCGUUUUCCUCAUCGUUGCUAUAUCUCUAGUUCUUCAAGCCACGGUGCCACCAACUGCGUUAGCCGCUCGUAACGAGGUUAUGUCCUCUGCCGCUGUAUCGAAAGUGGCUAAUGGUUCCAACGGUUUGGCUGUGGUUUUCGAGAAGGUAGGCUCUGGCUGCAAACCUAAAGGUUCGUUUUGCUUGUUUGACCUAACCAGUUGCUGUAGGCCUUGCGGAUGCCUUGCAGGGUGGUGCUAUAACUAUGAUCAUGAAUGCAAUGAGUACACAUAAUGGUCGCUACUGAGUUAAAAAGAAAAAAGAAUAACAGCUCUGAGUCAGAAAACGACAUGGGAUUCAAUUAUAAAUGUUCUAUAUAUAACAUAUGUAUUUGAAUAAAGAAUCUCUCGUGUUAUGUCCCUGUUUGGUUGAGCUCUGCCAUUGUUGUAAGAGUUCAUGUUUUUCGUCUUCUCGUUGGUGUGUUGGUAUUGUGUGUACCCUUGUUAUUGGCAUAUGUAAUGAUAACUAAGUUUACGAGUAUUUACCUAUUUUCUUUUAUGUAUAAUAAUUUGAUACUAUUGCUAACUUUUUUUUAUGCACUUUUAACAUUGGUAAAUGUUAAAACUUUUUUUAUAAAUAAAUCUAAUAAAUAAAUUUUCAAGUAAAUAAAAAAUAAAGAAUCAUGAAGUUGAUUUAUUAUUUUCUUAUUCGAAAGGGAUAAAGAUAAUGUGGAAUAACAGUUUUAUACCAUUCUUUUAUAACAUUUUUCUAAAAAAUAAUUUAAGCCUCUUGCUCAAUUUUAAAUAUAAAAUACUUAUUUUAUAUUAUUUUAAAAAAAUUAAAAUUAAUUAUUCGAUUCGAUUCAGGGUUUUAACUUGAAAACCAAAACGAGUGAGUACUAGCCUACUAGAGUACGUAGAUCCAAUUAGCAAAUCAACACUAGUUUAUACGUGCUUCCUUUGAACCGCUUCCAAAUCAGCUCCAAAAAACUGCUAGAGGCUCGAGCAACUUAAAAACCUCAAAAAAAAUAAAAAUUAUAGAGCUGAAAAGCACAAAAAAUGCACCGUUGCAGAGGCAGGUGAGCUGAAAAACUAGCAGCUGAAAGGGACAAACCCGUCACGUGCAGCUCUCCAAUAGCAGGUCAUGGAAUUCAGUGAAGAAAAACCACAGCAGGCAUAAGCAGCACAAAACCAGACCCAAACAGCUCAAAAAACAGAGUUGAAACAGUUGAUUAGACCCAAACCAGCUCGAAUCAGUAGCAUCAUUUUCUAUAUAAAGGCCUCCUCCACCUACAAACCAUUCCUCACACAAAACAUAAUCAUGGAGUGGUGCAAGAAGUUCGCUUUUCUGAUGGUUGCAAUGGUGCUUCUUCAAUCCAUGGUGCCUCCGACAGCAUUAGCUGCUCGUAACAAUGUUAUGGAAUACAAUCCAUUGGCAAGCGUAUUCUCGAGGGAAGGCCCUGGCUGCAUCGCAAAAGGCGGGUUUUGCUUGUUUGACCUAACCAGUUGCUGUAGGCCAUGCGGAUGCCUUGCAGGGUGGUGCUAUAACAUUGAUCAUGAUUGCAAAGAGUACACAUAAUGGUCGCUACUGAGUUAAAAAAAAACAGUUCUGAGUCAAAAAAUGACAUGGGAUUUGAUUAUAAAUGUUCUAUAUAUAACAUAUGUAUUUGAAUAAAGAAUCUCGUGUUAUGUCCCUGUUUAAUUGAGCUGUGCCAUUGUUGUAAGAGUCGGUGUUUUCCGUCUUCUCGUUGGUGUGUUGGUACUGUGUGUACCCUUGUUAUUGGCAUGUCUAAAAAUAAAUAUAUAUGUCAAUCAACUAAGUUUUAUGAGUACUUACCUGCCUCUCUUAUCUAAUUCAUGGACGGAUCACAUUUUAUAAAUUGAGCGAGGAGAUGUUAUUGUCGAGACUUGAAUCCUGGACUUUAAAUAUUAACACACAGCUCUUAACUACUUGCUCAAUUAUGGUAAAUAUCAUUAAUAAAUACUAAUAUCAACACGGAUGUUGGAAAUCACCACAGUUGGGUUGGGUGAAAAUCAAUAUGGAUGGAACGGUUGGGCGAAUGACUGAUAUAGCGACAGCAGGAGGAGUCAUCAGAGAUCAUAAUGUGAAGUGGCUGUGAGGCUGUUAUAGCAAUCUUGGUUCGUGUUCUGUGCUUCAUGCUGAGUUAUGGAGUGGUUGGGAGGGUUUCUUUCUGGCAUUGAAUUGCGGGUUUAGCAGGGUGGUUUCAGAAAUGGAUAAUGUAAAAAUAUUAUGUUCUCAGGAGAAUAAGGAAUAUACGGGUUAGCCAUGGGAAGUGAAGAUACAGCAUGCUUUGGUGAGGGUAAUUUUAUUCCAAAUGGUCUUGCAAACCAGCGGGUGAAUUCGAAUCCAGAAACACUUGUACUUAUCAGUGCACUAGACGAGAUCUUGAGAGAAUUACAUGAUGAAGCAUGCCAAAUUGGGUAUGGCAGGGUGUGAGUGUCUUAGUUGUAACUUUGUAUAGCUUUUUAUUUUACUCACGAAUUAAAAAAUAAUAUAAAUUCACGUAACUAAAUAAUAUUGCUUAAAGUGGUAUGAAGUAUGGAAUACUGGGGAAUUAUUAUACUUCUGUUUUUUGAAUUAUAUUUUAAAAUUCAUAUAUGUUUGUGGGAUCAAUUGGAUAUAUAAAAAGGACUGAUGUAAUUAUGCUUUCACUUUCAUUAUUAAGAUUAUCAAUUUAGUUUGUUAGUUGACAUAUAUGUUUAUUAAUAAAGUUAGCUUUUGAAAAAUAAAUAAAGUUAGCAAGAUUUAUGUACCAUCCUACCUAGGGUGGGACGAAUUUUUGCUUGUCCCUACUCAAACAAGAUGAACCCAACUUAAAUUUUAUUUAAUUAUUUUGUUUUUUAUUUUAAAAAUUAAUUUUUUGAGUUUACACAUAUAUAUAAUUAUAUGGCAGUGACAUUUUUGCAAAUAUUUAGGGACGGGUUGAGGGGAUUUACCUCAAACCCAAUUCCAACCCCUUAGCAUUUGAAUUUAUUGAAAUGCUUGGAGCAGAAGUCCAUUUAUUAUUGUUACAGUAUGCUUUUUUUUGUGCAAAGCUUGCUCUCGGAUUGCAAAGAAAAUCAAUUGGAUUUUGAUAGGAAGCUUUACCUAGUAUCUUUAUUUUUGUAAUCCCAGCCUUAUGGAUUUUAAUUUUAUGGUAAAAGUUCUAGGAAAGCCCUUAUACUUAAGGAGUGGAUUGCAUUUCGGCUCUUUCUAUUGAAAAAAUAAGUAAAUUAAUCUUUAUAUAUUUUGAAACGUGUAAAUUAAUUCGUCCAUUAAAUUUUAUGACGUGGAACGUUAAUUUAAAUGGUUGAUUACUAGUUUAAUCCCUGAACUAUAGUUAAAAUAUCAUUCUUUUUAAAAAUUCUUAACAAUAAUUCUAAAAAAUUAAAAAAAAAUCUUAAAAAUAAAUAUAACUUAUUAAAAAUUAUGUUAAAAUAUUUUAAAAAAUAAAAAUUAUAAAUAAAAAAUUCUAGAAAACAAAACUUAUAUCUAUUUUUUUUUUAAAAAUUGUCAAACUUUCAAGUCGAAACUUGAAACCAUCAUAUUUUUUUACAAGACUUUCUUCCCUGUUGUAAAAAACCCAAAAAAUCAAAAAGGUUUCUCAUGCUUGAUUGAAUUCAUAAAGAAAUAAAUAAAAACUUGAUUGAACCCAAGAAAAAUUAUCUAAAAGUUUUGACUACUCAUUUUCAAAUUUCUCAUACUUUCAUAAAUAUUCAUUUAAUCUUCGUCGCCUAUGCUUCCAACUAAAAUGUAUAUAAAAAUUUAUUUAAUGUUUACUUUAUUCUACAUUAGUGAAUACUCAUUUUUGCAUCUCCUAAUGAUGUAUAAUCAUAUUACAAAAUUUUGAUUACUCAUUUUCACAUCCCCUUAGCUAUUACAAACUUUCCUAUUUGAAAAAUCUUAUUGUUUUAUACCCUAGAAGCCUUAAUCUUUAAGCUACUGGGUUUUGAAUUUUUAAUAUAAAUGUGUGGGUUUUAUCUUUAAGCUUUAAUCUUGUUCGAAAAUUAGCAAAAGAUAAAUACAUUAAAAGCACAAAUUUAAAUUGCUAUCAUACCCUGAACCUAAACCCAUAAUUUAAUAGAAGACCCACCUUUGAACCGAUCUGACUCGACUAUUUUUCUAAUUUCACCCUAUAUGACCUACAUCGAACUUAAUUAUUCGAAAAUAAAAUUAGACCCAAACGGAUCGGGUCAGCACAAAACCCGUCAAAUUCACCAGGACGAAGACAAGGGGCAAGUAAUGCCCAAAAACAUAUAUAUAUAUAUAUAUAAUUUAGAUCUUUUAACAUUUAGGAAAUUUUAAAUUAAAAAAAAUACAUUUUAACAUUUUAAUCUCAAUAUUUAUGAUUCAUCUCUAUAUCCUUUUAAAAGUAUUUUUCUGGGUUCACCCUUACUCCAACCAUUCGUACUGCUUAGUAACAUAUAAACGUAACAAAUUAUUUAUCUCUCCCAUCAGUACUACAUGCACAUAAGUGCAUUCACUAUUCCAUGCAAUAUCUCAUUUGUCACAUGCAUUACGAACCUGGUCCCCAUCACUACAUGCACAUAAAUGCAUUCAUUAUUCCAUGCAAUAUCUCAUAUGUCACAGGCGUUACGAACCUGGACCAUCAUCUUUUCUAUAUAAAGGACCCUCCACCUACGAACAUUCCACACACAAAACAUAAUCAUGGAAUCCUUCAAGAAGAUCGUUUUUCUCAUCGUUGCUUUAUCUCUAGUUCUUCAAGCCACGGUGCCUCCAAACUGCGUUAGUCCUCUCGUAACGAGGUUAUGUCCUCUGCUGCUGUAUCGAAAGUGGCUAACGAUUCCAACGGUUUGGCUAAGGUUUUCGAGAAGGUAGGCCCUGGCUGCAAACCUAAAGGUUCGUUUUGCUUGUUUGACCUAACCAGUUGCUGUAGGCCUUGCGGAUGCCUUGCAGGGUGGUGCAAUAACAUUGAUCAUGAUUUCAAUUAAUGAGUACACAUAAUGGUCAUUACUGAGUCAAAAAAAAAAAAAAACACAGCUCUGAGUCAAAAAACGACAUGGGAUUCGAUUAUAAAUGUUCUAUAUAUAACAUAUGUAUUUGAAUAAAGAAUCUCGCGUUAUGUCCCUGUUUGGUUGUGCUGUGCCAUUUGUUGUGAGAGUUGGUGUUGUCCGUGUUCUCUUUGGUGUGUUGGUAGCAUUUUUCUCAAAAACAAAUUAAGUGCCUUUCACAAUUUUAAAUAUAAAAUAUUUAUUUUAUAUUAUAAAAAAUUAAAAUUAAUUAUUCGAUUCGAUUCAGUUUUCUAACUUGAAAGCCAAAACGAGUGAGUAGUAGCCUACUAGAGUAGAUUGAAUUAGCAAAUCGACACUAGUUUAUACGUGCUUCCUUUUGAACCGCUUCGAAAUCAGCUCCAAAAAACUGCUAGAGUCUCGAGCAACUUAAAAACCUCAAAAAAAAUUAUAGAGCUGAAAAGCACAAAAAAUGUACCGUUUCAGAGGCAGGUGAGCUGAAAAACUAGCAGCUGAAAGGGACAAACCCGUCACGUGCAGCUCUCCAAUAGCAGGUCAUGGAGUUCAGUGAAGAAAAACCACAGCAGGCAUAAGCAGCACAAAACCAGACCCAAACAGCUCAAUAAAUAGAAUUGAAACAGUUGAUUAGACCCAAACCAGCUCGAAUCAGUAGCAUCGUUUUCUAUAUAAUGGGCCUCCUCCACCUACAAGCUAUUCCACACACAAAAAACAUAAUCAUGGAGCGGUGCAAGAAGUUCGCUUUUCUGAUGGUUGCAAUGGCUCUGCUUCUUCAAUCCAUGGUGCCUCCGACAGCAUUAGCUGCUCUUAACAAUGUUAUGGAAUACAAUCCAUUGGCAAGCGUAUUCUCGAGGGAAGGCCCUGGCUGCAUCGCAAAAGGCGGGUUUUGCUUGUUUGACCUAACCAGUUGCUGUAGGCCAUGCGGAUGCCUUGCAGGGUGGUGCUAUAACAUUGAUCAUGAUUGCAAUGAGUACACAUAAUGGUCGCUACUGAGUUAAAAAAAAACAGUUCUGAGUCAAAAAAAUGACAUGGGAUUCGAUUAUAAAUGUUCUAUAUAUAACAUAUGUAUUUGAAUAAAGAAUCUCGUGUUAUGUCCCUGUUUAGUUGAGCUGUGCCAUUGUUGUAAGAGUUGGUGUUUUCCGUCUUCUCGUUGGUGUGUUGGUACUGUGUGUACCCUUGUUAUUGGCAUGUCUAAGAAUAAAUAUAUAUGUCAAUCAACUAAGUUUUAUGAGUAUUUACCUGCCUCUUUUAUCUAAUUCAUGGACGGAUCACAUUUUAUAAAUUGAGCGAGGAGAUGUUAUUGUCGAGACUUGAACCCUGGACUUUAAAUAUUAACACACAGCUCUUAACUACUUGCUCAAUUACGGUAAUAUCAUUAAUAAAUACUAAUAUCAACACGGAUGUUGGCAAUCACCACAAUUGGGUUGGGUGAAAAUCAAUAUGGAUGGAACGGUUGGGCGAAUGACUGAUAUAGCGGCAGCAGGAGGAGUCAUCAGAGAUCAUAAUGUAAAGUGGCUGUGUGGCUGUUAUAGCAAUCUUGGUUCGUGUUCUGUGCUUCAUGCUGAGUUAUGGAGUGCUUGGAAGGGUUUCUUUUUGGCAUUGAAUUGCGGGUUUCGCAGGGUGGUUUCAGAAAUGGAUAAUGUAAAAAUAUUAUGUUCUCAGGAGAAAGUUGGGCACAAUGCUAUAGUCAGGAGAAUAAGGAAUAUAUCGGUUAGCCAUGGGAAGUGAAGAUACAGCAUGUUGUUGGUGAGGGUAAUUUUAUUCCAGAUGGUCUUGUAAACCUGGGGCGGCUGAAUUCGAAUCCAGAAACAUAUGACUUACAUGAUGAAGCAUGCCAAAUUGGGUAUGGUAGGUGUGUAUCGAAAAAAGGGUAAAUUAGUAUUUAUACAUUUCGGAACGUGUAAAUUAAUUCUCUAUUAAAUUUUAUCUAUUAAAUGAUGAUAUGAAAUGUUAAUUUAAAUGGUUGAUUACUAAUUUCUUUUUUAUUGUAAGAAACCCAAAAAAUCAAAACUAAUUCUCAUGCUUGAUUGAAAUCAUAAGUAAAUAAAUAAAAACUUGAUUGAACCCAAGAAAAUCAACAAGAAGUUUUGAUUACUCACUUUCAAAUUUCUUAUGCUUUUGUAAAUGUUCAUUUAAUCUUCGUCGCUUAUACUUCCGACUAAAAGGUAUAAAAAAUUUUAUUUAAUGUUUACUUUCUUCUACUUUAGUGAUUGCUCAUUUUUACAUCUUUUAUGCUUUCAUAUCUCUUAAUGAUGUGUAAUCGCCGUUUAUAAAAUUCCGAUUACUCAUUUUCACAUCCUCUUAACUAUUAUAAACUUUCCUACUUGAAAAUCUUAUUGUUUAAUACCUUAGAAGCUUUAAUUUUAAGUUACUGGGUUUUGAAUUUUUAAUAUAAAUGUAUAGAUUUUGAACAAUUUAAAAUUUUUGAAAAUAAUGUUUUAAAUUUAUAGGAAGAAAUAAAAUAUAAAAAGUGAAAUUUUAAUUUAAAAUAAAAUCCUAUUGCCAUCAACAUGUGGAGAAGGAGUGAAAGGAGUUUUUUGUCUUCAUCUUAUUCUUCCUCGCUAAAAAUAUAUGCAAAUUGAAAGGUUUUGUCUCCUGUAAAUGUGUUAUUUCUUUGGUUUGAUUUUAUUUCAGCAAUAAUAAAAUCAUUAAUUUAUUGAAAUGAGUGUUUUUAGAAUUACACUGAAAGCGUCUUCAACAGAUAAUGUUAGUGUUUCAUUAUAUUUGAUAGUUAUACUUCUCAUCAAAUCAAGAAUUUUAUUAAAAAAGAAAAUGUUUCCCUAGCAUUAAAAUAGUGUUCAGUUUUUAAAAAAAAUAGUAACACCAUAAUUCACCAAAAAAAACAUAAGUUUUUGCGAUAAUAAAUUUGGGUUUGAUUUUGUUUUAACAUAUUUUUAAUAUAUUUUGAUAAUUUUUAUUUAUUUUUAAUUUCUUAGAGUUAUUGUUAAGAAAUUUUUUAAAAUAUCAAAGUUAUAUUUUAAUUAUAUUUCAAGGACCAAAUUAAUAAUUAACCAUUUAAAUUAACAUUCUAAAUUAUCAUUUUUUUCAAUAGAAUGGCCUAAAUGCAAUCCACUGCUUUUUAUCAAAUUUAAUACCUAUUAAGAUUCAUUCUAAUUUUAAUCUUCAGCUGCAUGAAGGGAUCUAUUAAAAUAAUGUUAUCCCACUUAUUCUAAAUUUUAAAUUUCACGUAAUCUUACGAUUUUAUAAGUUGUAUGAUUUAACCUAGACUCCAAAGAAAAGAGAGAAAUUUGAUGCAUCAAGACUUCCAACCACUAUGCCAUGCAAGUCACGUAAUUUGUCAUGCAAUCCAUAUGCUUAUAUAUGCUUUUUUUUUUUCUUUUAAUUUUUUUGCUAAGCCACUAAUAUAUGUUCAGUAUUUCUAUAUAAAGCACCUCCAUUUAUACAUUUCCAUCAAAUUUAUGAUCAGAUUUAACACUAAGAAAUGGAGUACUGCAAGAAGCUUGCUUUGGUGUUGGCGAUNNNNNNNNNNNNNNNNNNNNNNNNNNNNNNNNNNNNNNNNNNNNNNNNNNNNNNNNNNNNNNNNNNNNNNNNNNNNNNNNNNNNNNNNNNNNNNNNNNNNGGUUGUGGCAGCCACCACAACGGCAACCGCGGAUCGCAACGAGCUGACGGAAACUCUUUCCAUCGAAGCAAUUGUUUGAACUCUAGCUUGACUAACAUCAUCAAGAACCCUUUGGGCAAUAUUUUCGACGUUAAUGGCGAACCUGUAGUGGAAUGCAACCCUGAUGAUCAAAACUGCAUUAAAAAAUAUGGAUUUUGCUUGUUUCAGAACAAGAUUUGCUGUGAUGACUGCACGUGCUUCGGGUUGUGCGUGCUUUGCAGACAAAAAUAAAGACAGUGACUGAUCAGGAAGGGAUCUCAGGAAUCAAUGUUUUAUUGUCUUUCUUUUUGUACCUAACUAUGGUGCUGGUACUGUUUUCAUGUUUUGUUGAUGUUUGCGGACUUAAAUUAUCAAUAAGAUCGCAUUUAUUAAAAGUUAAGUAUUUUUCCUCAGCUAUAUAUAUAUUUGCUGGGAGAAGGCUUACUCCGGAACCUCAACGGGUCGGUAUGAUCUCAAGUCUGAGGUUUUUUUUUUUCUGUAAAAAGCCCAAGUGUUUAAGGCAUUAGAUUCAUAGAAUCUUAUCGAGAUCAAAUCAUAUAUAGCGCACAGCCGCCUAUCAAAAGAUAUAUAAGCAUUUUACUAGGGUUUGAACUUGUACCCUUAAAUGAUAACAAAUAGGGUGAAGUCAAAAAACUUUUUUAGGGGUCGAAAUAAGAGUAUUUUACAAAAAUAAUAUAAAAAAUAUAAAAAUAGUAUAACUUUUUUUUUAUUUACUAAAAUGGUACCAAAAAAACAGUUAAAAAAACGAAAGAAGGUGAGUUCUACAUGGUCUACAAUUUCACGGAAUGAUUUCGUGAAAAUUUCGUCCGAAAAUUUUGACGUUUGGGCACUCAAUUUAGUCAAAAAGACUAAAUUGUAAAAAAUUCAAAAGUUGAGUUCUACAUGUUAAAGGUGUCCAAUUAUUAUGAAAUUUUAAAUUGGAGGUCCUUAAAUAGUAAUUAGACCAUUGGUUAAAUUGUGGACAAAAAUGGACAUGAGAAAAGUGAAAUAGGAUAUUUUUAAGUUAGGGGCAUUUUGGUAAUUUGGUAAUUAAAUGGACAAAAAGACAAAAUAAAAGCCAAAAACCCUUGUCCAUCUUCUAGCAUGACCGAAUAUGUCAUGGAAGCCAUGGCUAGGGUUUUGUUCAAGCUUCAUAGUAAGUCCAUCUUUGCCCCGUUUUUAAUGUACUUUACAUUUUUGAGAUCCUCGUAGCUCGGUUUAUUUAUUUCUACCGUUAUUUUGAGCUUGGGUUUGUGUUUAAAAAUUUACCCAUAGGUGACAUGCAUGUAUUUUGAUAUUUUAUGGAAGAAUAUGAAUGUUUGGAGUGUGAAAAACAAUUUUUACUAAGUGAUUUUUGAUGAAAUUGGAUAAAAGAUUAAUUUGUAAAAAGUUGUAAAAUGUGUGUAAGUGUGUGAAUAAGUGAAAAUUUUGGACUGCUAUAGUUAUGAAAAUGGUUAGGCUCAGCCUAAAAUUCAAGGAAAUUGAAUAAAAAUUAUUUUACGAGCCUAGGGCAAAAUCGUAAUUUUGUGAAACUUUAGGGGCGAAAAUGUAAUUUUGCCAUAAUGUGAUUUUUUGAACUAGAUUGAAUAAUGUGAGUAUUAAAUAAGUGCAGAUAUAAGUGUGAAUUUAUGAACAAUGUGCUCGAUAUUUAAUCGAACCUUUGGUAAGAUGAAAUGUAGUAAGUGAAAUUAUGAAAGAGUAAAAUUUACAACAAAACAGCUUUGGAUAGCAGUAGUCGUGUGAAUUUGAAAAAUCACUAAAAAUGAUAGAAAUUCAAUUAGAGGUUGAAUGAGAUAUGAAAUUAAAUCUUAUUGAGUCUAUUUUCACAUAAAAGAAACAGAGUAAACAAAAGAAUUGUAUAUUAUGAGAUAUUUGAAUUUUAGUGAGACAGGACUAGAAUGAUUUCGAAAUCCCCUGUUCUGACUUUGUAAAAUCAUUAAAAAUUGUACAGAAAUAAUUAUGGGCUAAACUUUAUGUUUUUAGAAUUAUGAAUAAGUUUAUUUUCAAAAGAAGCAAACAAGAACAUUAUCCGAAUUCUGUACAAUGAGAUAAUUAUUUUUUAGUGAAGAGGGGUCAGAACUGUCGAGCAGUGAAACAGGGGGAACUUUAAAGAAUAAAAUGUACUUAUUGAAUAAGACAAAAUUCUGAAAAUUUUAUGGUAAGAAUAUAUGUCAGUCUAGUUUUGGGAAAAAUUAACGAAUCUUAAUUUGGAGCUCUGUAUCUCGAGAUAUAAAUAAAUUAGUGACUCUGACUUAGAUAGACAGCUUGAAUUUACAUACAGGAAAAUAGUGAAAGUAUGGAUAAUGUUGUUUAAGUGUGUUAUACACAUUAAGGAUGUGGAAUGGAGAGGAGGAGGAGGAAAAUUGGAAAAAUAUAUGAAUGGUCAUGCAUUAUUGGUCAUAUGCUCGAUUAUAAUUGAUAAAUGAUGAAAUAGAAAUGAUGUUUAUAUUUGUGCAUUAUUGGUCAUGGUUUAAGCUGAUGUGGGAAAAUAAAGUUUCAUCGUAUGUAUGUAUGGUAUAUUUGGUAUAUGAUUUGGCAUGAAGUAAUGUCAUGAAUGGUUUAUGAAUUAACACAUGUCGGUAAGUUUACGAUAAAUAAAUGCAAUAAUUCAAUAAUUAUUAUUAAUGUUGUUAUUUUUCAGCAAUUAUGUAUUUAUUUCAUGGAAUUAUUUAAUGUUGACUCAAGUAUGAGAUGACAGAGAAUCAGUGAUAAAAUGUCCCGUUGAAAUAUUAGGAAUGUAUCGGAUACAAAUGUCAUGACAUUAAGGGAAUGAGAUCUCAUAUAAGACCAUGUCUGGGACAUGGCAUUGGCAUUAUUGAGGUUAUGAGAGGUCCCACGUAAGACCAUGUCUGGGACAUGGCGUUGGCACCGAGAUAAGAGGUCCCCCGUAAGACCAUGUCUGGGACAUGGCAUCGGCACCGAUAUGAGAACUCCCAUGUAAGACCAUACCAUGAGAACUCACAUUUUAUAAAUUAAGCGAGGAGAUGUUAUUGUGGGGACUUGAAUCUUAGAGUUUAAAUAUUAACACACAGCUCUUAACUACUUGCUCAAUUAGGGUAAAUAUCAUUAAUAAAUACUAAUAUCAACACGGAUGUUGGCAAUCACCACAGUUGGGUUGGGUGAAAAUCAAUAUGGAUGGAACGGUUGGGCGAAUGACUGAUAUAGAGGCAGCAGGAGGAGUCAUCAGAGAUCAUAAUGUGAAGUGGCUGCGAGGCUGUUGUACCAAUCUUGGUUCGUGUUCUGUGCUUCAUGCUGAGUUAUGGAGUGCUUGGAAGGGUUUCUUUCCGGCAUUGAAUUGCGGGUUUCACAGGGUGGUUUUAGAAAUGGAUAAUGUAAAAAUAUUGUGUUCUCAGGAGAAAGUAGAGCACAAUGCUAUAGUCAGGAGAAUAAGGAAUAUACCGAUUAGCCAUGGGAAGUGAAGAUGCAGCAUGUUGUUGGUGAGGGUAAUUUUAUUCCAGAUGGUCUUGUAAACCUGGGGCGACUGAAUUCGAAUCCAGAAACAUAUGAAUUACAUGAUGAAGCAUGCCAAAUUGGGUAGGGUAGGUGUCUAUCGAAAAAAACAGUAAAUUAGUAUUUAUACAUUUUGAAAUGUGUAAAUUAAUUCUCUAUUAAAUUUUAUCUAUUAAAUGAUGAUAUGAAAUGCUAAUUUAAAUGAUUUGUUUUCAAAUAUAUAAAAGCUACUUUCUCAUAUGAUAUUACUUAGUUCACAAAUGAGAUAGGACCCUUCACUAAUUUUGACUUUAAUAUACUGCACUCAUAGCUAUCCAUAUAUUAUAUUUUGCACUCACCUACUUUUUCAAGUUUUUAUUAAUCUUGUUAUAUACUUAUGAUCAUCAACCCUAAAACCAUAUAAGGUUCGGGUUGCCCAUCCGUGACCCGACUAGGGCCUACCAGAUGGAUACAUGCAAACCUCACAGUACAAAGUCAACAAUGGGAGCUCGCGAUCUCAGCUCGCAUAUGUCCACGAAGUGUCCAGCAGGCAGCCCAGAACAAUAUACAUGCCCAGUAUAUGUAUAGAGUCUAUUAAGAACGUCAAUUCCAUUAACAGUAGCUAUGUAUAUAAAUAUUCGAUUGUCCUCUUUAGUGAAACGUAACGAAAAAUUACUCAACAAAUCUAUUAAUAUGUUAUAUUGUUUUUUUUUUAAAUUGUUUUCCUGAUUUAAAUUUCAUUUCAGUAAUUUGAUAAGAGAUGUUGAAUUGGUCUCCGGUGCAUAUAUGCAUCGAUUGUAACAUUUAAAAGAUGAAAUUCCUUUCCUGUAAGAUUGAAGAUGUGAUUUUCCUUUUCUCUAAGAUAGACUGCAUAUUUGUUGAUUUUUUUUUUUUUCCUUCUUCUUGAAAUAAUAAAGAAAGAGAAGAAUGAAUUACCCUCUUUUAUUCUUUCCUUUAAUGCUGUGAGGGCUCAACCUAUUGGCUGGGAAUGGAAUCUAUACAAAUGUCUUUUAAUAGAAAAUUAUUUGAUUAUUUUUUAGUAGAGUGUUUAGAUUUUAUAAGUAAAAUUUUAAAUGUGUUAUAUGUCUUAUUAGGUGCAACAAGAUAAAAUAAAAAUUCAAUAAUUAAAAAAAUUAUGUUGUAGUGUUUGAGUAUUACUUUUGGAAUUAAAAUGGGGAUAUAUCAAAUUCUAACAGCACGUUUGGUUCGCUGUAAUGGAAUAGAGGUGUAAUGGAAUAGAGGCGUAAUAGGUAAUUCUUUUGUUUGGUUGAAUGGAAUGGAAUAGAGGUGUAAUAGUAUUCUUGUGUUUGGUUGAAUGGAAUAGAGGUGUAAUAGCAUAAGGAAAAAAACUAAAAUGACUAUAAUACCCUUAGCAGAAUUUUUUUUAGGUAGAUGAUUAUUGUUAUUGUUAUUAAAUUUUAAUAAGAUUAUUAAUAUAAAUAAUAAAUAAUUUAAUCAUAUUUUAACAUAAUUAUUAUUAAAUAUAAUUUAAUAAAAAUAUAUAAUUUAAUAAAAUUCUUAAUAUUAAAUAUUCUUAUAUGAAUUUACUAAAAUCGUAAUAUAUAAUAAUAUAAAAUAUAAUUUAAAAUAAUUAUUAUUAAAUUAUAUUUAAUAAUAAUAUAUAAUUUAAUAAAAUUCUUAAUAUUAAAUAUUCUUAUAUGAAUUUACUAAAAUCAUAAUAUAUAAUACUAUAAAAUAUAAUUUAAAAUUAUUAUUAAAUAUAAUUUAAUAAAAAUAUAUAAUUUAAUAAAAUUCUUAAUAUUAAAUAUUCUUAUAUGAAUUUACUAAAAUCAUAAUGUAUAAUACUAAAAUCAUAAUAUAUAUAAUUUAAUUUUUGAAUGAAUGCAAAUGAUUCACUGUGAAUGUUUCAUUCAUAAGAUCUCCCCUGCUAUAACUUCUUCCUAAAUAAAAAUUGAAAAACAAUAGCAAACAAAUAAUUCAAAGGAUUUUUUCAUUAAUUUUAUAAAUGUUAAUUGGGAGAAGCAACUCCAGAAAUCAUCAUAUGUUAUAAAUAAUUAAGCACUAAUUAUGAGCUAAACAAAGGAGCUUGAUGAUAUCCCAAUACACAGGUUUAUACAAACUUGAUAGCAAUCUUCCAUCAAAAGUGUACGGAUGAAGAUAAGAGAUGGUGACAUUUUGGUAAGAUAAAGGUUCCAGGACAGCUUAUCGCCCCAAAAGCGCAACACGAUCCUUCUGUACUGCCUGUGUCAGGUUGAUGUCAAAGAGUUCGAAUCGUAGAGGCAUCUCCAUCUCAUAGAAGGGGUUCUUCAAAACAUAAUCUGUGUAGAGCUCAUAAACAACUUUCAAGAGAGCCUCCAUGUGCUGUGUCCCAGGUUCACAAACUGCAAAGAACUUUGUCCCUGAAAAUCAUAACAUGCAUAUUUGCAAAAUCAACAGUGUAGAGAAUUCAUUGAGUGGUUAUUUAGAAUCCAUUUAAAGGAGAAAAUUCAUAUUUGUACAUGAGUUUGAAGAAGAUGAAGUAUAGAACUUAUGUCUUAUUAUCUUUAUGCAUAAGGAAAUACCAAUCUUGAUGCUUAAACUAAUAUGGAAGAAGAUGAAGUAUAGAAGGUUUUUGGAUAGUUUAUGCCACGUAUUAAAUAAGUUUCUCAAAAAAUAUGAAAAUUGUGAAGUCACUAAGAAUUCCAGCUGCUAUUGUCUGCCAUGCAUCAUCCAAAUCAAAGACAAACUCAGGUCAGUUUCCAUUAUCCAACACACUCUUGCUUUGUUUUACUGUUUCAUCUAAUUAGUUUCCAUUAUCCAAGGUUCACUAAUCCACUUUCAACUAAAUCUAAGGUAGAUAUUUUUUUUAAGUAAAAUUUAUAUAUCUUAAAAAUCAUUAAAAUUCCGGCCAUAAUUUUAAUUACUCCCCUUAAACAAAGUAGUUGAAACUUCCAUUAUUUUUGUGGUAGAAGGGAGGAUCUUUUCCCAUUAAUGAGUAAUCUAAGUGCACUCUUCAAGGUUACAAUGUAAAACAGUAUCUUCAUCUAAAGCAUAUUUCAAAAUCAAGAAUAAAGUUGCAAACAAUUGCAGUUAAAACUUUUUAAGGUAUGAGUGGCAUACAAGUUACAAACACUCUCAAGUGGCCUCAGGCAGGUAAUGUCUCCCUUAGGUUCGUUAAUGACAUGUGGGAGGCUAGUGGUGGAUUAUGAGCUUCAAAGAAUAUAUAAUUAUUGUGUUUUACAGCACAUCUCAUCACCAAAACCAUAAAACAAUCAGUUAGAAGUUUCAAUUACAAAAUAUACCCUUCAAUCACCAAAACCAUAAAACCAUAAAACAAUUUGUUUAACAAGUGAGACCAACUCAGUCAAAUAUGGAUAGAUAGGUAUUCAAAAUUAGAAGAAGUAGAAUCAACUCAAUAUCAAAACAAUAUCAUGUCUAAAUGAUAAAUUUAUGAAGAAACAAUAACCCAUUCCAAUAUAAUUUAAUUAACUAAGAUUUACUCGCACUAAGGUAAUCCCCAUUCAUCUCCAAUCACUCUCUCAAUAUAUUGUAACAAGGCCACUCUAAAGUGUACUUUGAUUUAAACAUUAGAUUAAGUUUGAAUAAAUAAAAACGUUCAACAAAAUCGAUAAUAAUAAUUUAACCCCACGAAAGUUCUUUUGUAUGGAUAGUUUUCUUAUUCAAGGGAAUGUAUCACUUGCUUCCAUUCUGUGAAUUCAAUGCAAUCCCCAAUCCUGUUUUCGCAAUCUAAAAACUCAUUUGGUAGUGUAUCAAAUGAUUUUCCUAAAAAUUUUCAUAUAUUUCUUUUCUUUUAUUUUUAUAUUUAAAUUAUAUUAAUUAAACUCAUUUGUAAAAUUCAAAAAUUUUAUUGUUAAUGUAUCAAAUAAUUACCCAUUUGGUAUUGAAAAAUCCUACAUCGGAUGGACCAUUAUCAAUUAAAAUUUCAAUUAUUAUUUUUGUAGACAAUUUUUUUUAAAAAAGAAAAAGAAAAUUUGCAAUCAAGUUAAGAUAUUAUCAUAUGUUUAUAAGUGUUAUAUAUAUAAUAUGUGAUAUUUUAAAUUUCGUUUAUAAAAUUUUAAAAAGUUAUAUUAAUGCAUGCGAUAAUAUCUUUAAAAUGUAAGGGUAAAAAAAAGGGAAUUAUUAAGGAGAUUCAAAUUAGCAAAACAAUCAACUUGUGUAGAAAAUGGGAAUUCACUAUUUGAACUUUAUAAGCCACUAAAACUUGGAAAGAUGUAUGGAAUUAAACGUGGAAUCACUUCGAAACCCCCAUUUUGAAAUAAUUUCAAGCUACACAUCAAUUACACUCAAAUAAAAUAAGAUUUCAUGUAUACAAUUUACUUAAAAUGUUGAUUUACAUUUUUAAGCCCGUGUCAAAAAUCAAGUCAAAAGUUAAAUUGAUGAAGUUCUGGAUCUAUUGAUUCAAGUUGAAUUAAUUAACUACGAGAAUUAAGUGAGAUGGUAAGAAUUUUUUUACCUUAAUCAGUAGUCGAGGAUUUGAUCCUCGUUCUGGGUAUAGAGCGGCUUUAAAACUCGUGGUCAAUAUUUACUUCAUUAAUUAGUUUACAAAAUGUGAAGAUUUAAUUACUGUACUCGCUCUAACAUAUCCUUUGAAAAAAAAAGUUGAAUUAGUUUAUUCAACUAAAUUUAAUAAACUUAAUAUUAAAUGAGUAAUAAAUAAGAAUGUACAAUUAAUUUAAUUUAACUUUUUAUUUUCGUUUGGUAUAUUUAGAAUUUUAAAAAUGUAUAUAAACGCACGCCCCAACAUUGCAAUUUUGUUAAUAAUGCUACCCUGUACGAAACCAUUUUUCUCAUUCUCAAACUAAAUUAUUAUGAUUUGAGUGGGUAUAGGAUGAAUAUCUUUAAUUAAUGAGCUGUUGAGAUUUAAUUUGUUGAUGUGUAUGAAAUUAAUUUUUUUUUAAAUAAGGUAUAUUCGUGUUUGUUUUGUAGUGUAUGAAAAUUAACUUUUUUAAUAUUCAUGUUUGUUCCUCUUAAUAAUAUUAUCACUAAAGAUGACAAUCGGGUGGGGUGUUUUUUUGUCCGCCUCAACCACAACUCUUAAGAAAAAAAAUUCCACCCCAAACCUAAACCCAGAAUUUAAUAGGAGAUCUAACUCUGAACUGGCCCGACUUGACUAUUUUUCUAAUUUCACUCGAUAUGACUUGCAUCGAACUUGAUUUUUGAAAAUAAAAUUCGACAGAUCAAGUCAAGUCAAAACCCGUUAAAUUCAAGGUUCUUUUGUCAUCCCUAACCAUCAUCAAGGCGAAGACAAGGGGAAAAUAGUGCGCCAAAAAAGAAUAAUAAAUUUAUCAUUUAAACCCUUUAACAUUUAAAAAAUUUUAAGUCAAUAUAAUGAUAAAAAUACAUUUUAAUCUCAAAAAAUUAUGACUCAACUCUAUACUUUAAAAUAUUUUUUUGGGUUCACCCUCGAGUCCAACCAUUCGUACUACUUAGUAACAUAUAUUAUAGAAACGUAACAAAUUAAUCUCUCCCAUCACUACAUGCACAUAAGUGCAUUCACUAUUCCAUGCAAUAUCUCAUAUGUCACAUGCAUAAUACUUACGAACCAGGACCAUCAUCUUUUCUAUAUAAAGGAUCCUCCACCUACAAACAUUCCACACACAAAACAUUAUCAUGGAAUCCUUAAAGAAUAUCGUUUUUCUCAUCGUUGCUAUAUCUCUAGUUCUUCAAGCCACGGUGCCUCCAACUGCGUUAGCCGCUCGUAACGAGGUUAUGUCCUCUGCCGCUGUAUCGAAAGUGGCUAAUGAUUCCAACGGUUUGGCUAAGGUUUUCCAGAAGGUAGGCCCUGGCUGCAAACCUAUAGGUUCGUUUUGCUUGUUUGACCUAACCAGUUGCUGUAGGCCUUGCGGAUGCCUUGCAGGGUUUUGCUAUAACCUUGAUCAUAAUUGCAAUGAGUACACAUAAUGGUCACUACUGAGUUAAAAAAAAGAAGAAGAAGCUUUGAGUCAAAAAACGACGUGGGAUUCAAUUAUAAAUGUUCUAUAUAUAACAUAUGUAUUUGAAUAAAGAAUCUCGUGUUAUGUCCCUGUUUGAUUGAUCUCUGCCAUUGUUGUAAGUGUUGAUGUUUUUCGUCUUCUUAUUGGUGUGUUGGUAUUGUGUGUACCCUUGUUAUUGGCAUAUGUAAUGAUAACUAAGUUUAUGAGUAUUUACCUAUUUUCUUUUAUGUAUAAUAAUUUGAUACUAAU